rnacentral:rRNA from 1 species
UACGGGGGGGGCAAGCGUUGUUCGGAAUUACUGGGCGUAAAGGGUUCGUAGGUGGCCCGCUAAGUCAGACGUGAAAUCCCUCAGCUCAACUGGGGAACUGCGUCUGAGACUGGUGGGCUUGAGUGCAGGAGAGGAACGCGGAAUUCCAGGUGUAGCGGUGAAAUGCGUAGAUAUCUGGAGGAACACCGGUGCGAAGGCGGCGUUCUGGACUGUUACUGACACUGAGGAACGAAAGCCAGGGGAGCAAACGGG